GCGCAGCAGGCGCGAAUACUCCGCAAUACACGAAAGUGUGACGGGGCCAUCCCGAGUGCCGUCCGCUGAGGACGGCUUUUCCCCAGUGUGCAUAGCUGGGGGAAUAAGGAGAGGGCAAGCCUGGUGUCAGCCGCCGCGGUAAUACCAGCUCUCCGAGUGGUGGGGACGCUUAUUGGGCCUAAAGCAUCCGUAGCCGGCUGGGCAAGUCCUCCGUUAAAUCCAACGAUUCAAUCGUUGGGCUGCGGGGGAUACUGUCCAGCUUGGGGGCGGGAGAGGCCGACGGUAUUCCCGGGGUAGGGGUGAAAUCCUAUAAUCCCGGGAGGACCACCAGUGGCGAAGGCUGUCGGCUAGAACGCGCCCGACGGUGAGGGAUGAAAGCUGGGGGAGCGAACCGGAUUAGAUACCCCCGUAGU
rnacentral:rRNA from 1 species